ACCCCAAUCUCGUGGGUGAAAGUCCUGUGUUGUUUGACCCAUCCACAACCCCAACCAACCUCCUUACGUGGCAUUUUGGACUUUCAUACUACUUGCUUCUGUUGUUGCUCUUAAUACAACUUCAUCUUACAGCGCCGCAGUUGGGCUGCUGCUCUC